AGAUUGAACGCUGGCGGCAUGCCUUACACAUGCAAGUCGAACGGCAGCACGGGGGCAACCCUGGUGGCGAGUGGCGAACGGGUGAGUAAUGCAUCGGAACGUGCCCAGUAGUAGGGGAUAACUAGUCGAAAGAUUAGCUAAUACCGCAUACGACCUAUGGGUGAAAGCGGGGGAUUCGCAAGAACCUCGCGCUAUCGGAGCGGCCGAUGUCUGAUUAGCUAGUUGGCGGGUAAAAGCCCACCAAGGCUUCGAUCAGUAGCUGGUCUGAGAGGACGACCAGCCACACUGGGACUGAGACCACGGCCCAGACUCCUACGGGAGGCAGCGAGGUAGGGGAAGUUUUGGAC
rnacentral:rRNA from 1 species